rnacentral:rRNA from 1 species
CGCCCCCUACGGGACGCAGCAGUGAGGAAUAUUGGUCAAUGGGCGGAAGCCUGAACCAGCCAAGUCGCGUGAGGGAUUAAGGCCCUAUGGGUCGUAAACCUCCUUUGUCAGGGAGCAAUGGCGUCCACGUGUGGGCGUAUGGAGAGUACCUGAAGAAAAAGCAUCGGCUAACUCCGUGCCAGCAGCCGCGGUAAUACGGAGGAUGCGAGCGUUAUCCGGAUUUAUUGGGCGUAAAGGGAACGCAGGCGGUCUUUUAAGUCUGAUGUGAAAGCCUUCGGCUUAACCGGAGGAGUGCAUUGGAAACU